rnacentral:rRNA from 1 species
GACGAACGCUGGCGGCGUGCUUAACACAUGCAAGUCGAACGGAAAGGCCCUGCUUUUGUGGGGUGCUCGAGUGGCGAACGGGUGAGUAACACGUGAGUAACCUGCCCUUGACUUUGGGGUAACUUCAGGAAACUGGGGCUAAUACCGGAUAGGAGCUCCUGCUGCAUGGUGGGGGUUGGAAAGUUUCGGCGGUUGGGGAUGGACUCGCGGCUUAUGAGCUUGUUGGUGGGGUGGGUGCUUACCAAGGCUUUGACGGGUAGCCGGCCUGGGAGGGUGACCGGCCACAUUGGGACUGCGGUACGGCACAGACUCCUACGGGAGGCAGCAGUGGGGAAUAUUGCACAAUGGGCGGAAGCCUGAUGCAGCAACGCCGCGUGCGGGAUGACGGCCUUCGGGUUGUAAACCGCUUUCGCCUGUGACGAAGCGUGAGUGACGGUAAUGGGUAAAGAAGCACCGGCUAACUACGUG